CGCGGAGGGGCGGCGAGGCCUGCUCCAGCGCCGUCCCCUGCCCUCCCCCUCGCCUGCCUCCUAAACACCCUCGCACCGACCAUUGCAGAGGCUUCUUCGGUCGCCACUGCGCCAGUAUUUUUUUUUUUUUUUUUUUUUUUGUCGCUGGCGAACAGCCGGAGAAAGAGAUAGUCAGCAGCUCAUGGAGAGGCUGAGAGGAGUCGGGAGAGUAGCCUUCAGCGACUGGCCUCACCCGCUGGUUUUCCUUCGUUUUCAGUGAAAUCCCAUUUUCUGGCUGGAGUCACAGAUGGCCUCAAAUGAGAGAGAUGCUAUAUCGUGGUACCAAAAGAAGAUUGGAGCAUAUGAUCAGCAGAUAUGGGAAAAGUCAAUCGAACAGACUCAGAUUAAGGGCUUCAAAAACAAACCAAAAAAGAUGGGUCACAUAAAGCCAGACUUGAUUGAUGUUGACUUAAUCAGAGGCUCAACUUUUGCCAAAGCCAAACCUGAAAUUCCGUGGACAUCUCUGACUCGAAAGGGGCUUGUUCGAGUUGUUUUUUUCCCAUUGUUCAGCAACUGGUGGAUUCAGGUUACCUCUUUAAGAAUCUUUGUUUGGCUGCUACUGCUUUACCUCAUGCAAGUUAUAGCGAUUGUGUUAUAUUUAAUGAUGCCUAUUGUGAACGUAAGUGAAGUACUUGGACCCUUGUGCCUUAUGUUACUCAUGGGAACUGUCCACUGUCAAAUUGUGUCUACUCAGAUAACAAGGCCAUCUGCAAACAAUGGAAAUCGGAGAAGAAGAAAAUUACGGAAAACUGUAAAUGGUGAUGGAAGCCGAGAAAAUGGUAAUAAUAACUCCUCUGACAAAGUCAGAGGCAUAGAAACUUUGGAAUCUGCACCCAUUAUUGGUGGGGUUUGGCGCACUCUGUUUGGCAACAGGAUUAGAAGAGUGAAAUUAAUAUCUAACAAAGGGACUGAAACUGACAAUGACUCAAGUUGUCUACAUCCUAUCAUUAAGAAGAGACAGUGUCGACCAGAGCUUAGAAUGUGUCAAACAAGAGAGAAAACAAAAUUUUCAGAUGGAGAAAAGUGCCGUAGGGAGGCUUUUAGGCGUCUGGGGAAUGGAGUUUCAGACGAUCUGUCAAGUGAGGAGGACGGUGAAGCACAGACACAGAUGAUGCUGUUGCGUCGGAGCGUGGAAGGGGCCUCAAGUGACAAUGGUUGUGAAGUUAAGAACAGAAAAUCAAUACUUUCAAGGCACUUAAACUCUCAGGUAAAGAAAACCAGUGCAAGAUGGUAUCACAUUGUGCGGGACUCAGAUAGUUUGGCUGAAUCAGAAUUUGAAUCAGCAGCCUUCAGCCAGGGCUCUAGAUCUGGUGUGAAUGGCUGCUCUCAAAGCAUCAACCUGUCAAGAAGAGACUCAGAAAGCACCCGCCAUGACUCAGAGACUGAAGAUAUGCUGUGGGACGACCUGCUGCAUGGCCCAGAGUGCCGAUCGUCUGCCACCAGUGACAGUGAGGGGACCCACGUGAGCACUCUGCACUCAGGAACCAAACGUGACCCGAAAGAGGACGUUUUUCAGCAGAACCAUUUAUUCUGGCUUCAGAAUUCAAGUCCUGCCUCUGAUCGAGUCAGUGCAAUAAUCUGGGAAGGGAAUGAGUGUAAAAAGAUGGACAUGUCUGUGUUGGAGAUGAGUGGCAUCAUCAUGAGCAGGGUUAAUGCAUAUCAGCAAGGAGUAGGUUAUCAGAUGUUGGGAAAUGUUGUCACCAUUGGAUUAGCAUUUUUUCCUUUUUUACAUCGACUUUUCCAUGAGAAGAGCUUUGACCAACUGAAGUCCAUUUCAGCUGAGGAGAUCUUGACUCUCUUCUGUGGGGCACCUCCUGUUAUGCCUGUUAUUAUUUUGUCUAUAAUUAAUUUUUUUGAAAGAUUGUGUCUUACAUGGAUGUUUUUUUUCAUGAUGUGUGUGGCAGAGAGAACAUACAAACAGAGAUUUUUAUUUGCAAAACUCUUCAGCCAUAUUACUUCUGCCAGGAAAGCUAGGAAAUAUGAAAUACCUCAUUUUAGACUUAAAAAGGUGGAGAACAUUAAAAUAUGGUUAUCGCUGCGUUCCUAUCUGAAGGUUCUCCAAGGACAUAAGACUUUUCUGAAUGAUGCUUAUAACUGGGAGUUAUUGAUCUGGGAAACAGCUCUACUGCUUUUCUUACUGCGCCUGGCCUCACUGGGGUCAGAAACCAAUAAGAAGUACAGCAAUGUUUCAAUAUUACUCACUGAACAGAUUAAUUUAUAUCUUAAGAUGGAAAAGAAGCCAAAUAAGAAAGAACAGCUCACUCUGGUCAACAAUGUAUUAAAGCUGUCCACCAAGUUGUUAAAAGAGCUGGACACACCGUUCAGACUCUACGGGCUGACGAUGAAUCCCCUCAUCUACAACAUCACAAGAGUAGUCAUCCUCUCCGCUGUCUCAGGUGUUAUAAGUGACCUUCUAGGAUUUAAUAUAAGACUAUGGAAAAUUAAAUCAUAAGCUGCAUCAUACGCCUGGACUCUGGGCCCUGGCUGGCGUCAGUGUUUACCCAUGAAGGAGGAGGCUGCAGAACCAGUGAGCUGCCCACCUGCUGGUUCCCACGCACGGUGCUCUCAGCUCUGGCACACUGACGAGUCGUGUCUCCAGAGGAACAAGUCCUUUCCACUUGGGUGUGCAUGCUAAAAAGCCUGUGUUUUUGUGGCUGUCCAACAGUACAGUCAGCAGCCUCGAGACUGUGUUCUGGUAACACAAGAACCAUUUUCUGAGUUAGGGAAUGUAUUCUGGGCGCUUCAGUGCUCUGACAGUUGCAUUUACUGGAAGUGGUCUUCUGGAUGACUGUGGUAGAUGCCCAAAGCAUGAAGCAAAAUCUUUUCCUGGAAAUAUGCAAAUUCAGUACUUUUCUAUUAUACUCUAUGGAGUUAGAGAUUUCAUUUCCGUGUCAAAGACAGAGUGAAUAAAUUAUUUUAGGUUGAAUCUGAAUAAAAGAACUUUACUGGAAGUUUUUGAUUUCUAGGCUUUUGUUGAAAAAAACUCACUUAAACUGUGAAAUAAACUGAGAAAUUAUUAAUUAGCUUACCGUUUUUGUUCAGUGCUAAUAACUGUUAGCUGAGGUGACAGUCACCACAUGAUGCCUUGUUACUAAGCGUGAGAAACAACUACAGGCCUGCUCACACAUGGUGGUUUCCACAUGCAGGUCGUCUCGCUGUUUCCUGUCCCAUGCAUCAUGGGUAAUUUUAUUGUUUGCAACCUGGUGCACCAUCCCUCAGUUUCAGAGCCUCAGUGUGCGGUUGCUGGGCCACGCCUUUGUUGACGCGGGUUGUUUGCGUCCUCUUAUGCACACGUGCACAAUACAUCCUCUGCCGCCCUCAGCCUCGCCACUCGGCCUGAGCGGGGCCUGCCUGCUGGACCACAAACCCCCAGAGCUCUGAGCCGCAGAUGCCCGCCUUCAUUAGUAAGCUGGCUUGGACAUUUAGUAGUUGUAGCAGAACCUCACUGUCUCCCACCUCCUUCCUGCUGCCUGGAGUCUGGGAGCACAGUGAUGUUCCGAGCAUUUUCUGUCUUCAAUUUUGGAGGUUUUUGUUACUGCGCCUUCAGGUUCACUAAGCUCUUUCUCUACACUAAUUAGCUGUUAAUCUCAUCCAAUGUACUUUUCAUGUCUUAAAGUUUGAUUUUAGUCCUUUUAUGUCAUAACAUGCUUACUCUUUUCUAUACUUUAACAUAGUAAGUGUAUUUAUAAGAGGAGUAGUCAAUAAGAACAGUAAGACAGCUAUCUCAAUCAUUUUGGGGUCUGUUUUUAUUGAUGGGAUUUUCUCACCCUGGGUCUUAUCUUCCUGAGUUUUUGCAUGCCUGAUAAUUUUUUAUUGGCUAUGAACUUUGUGUUCUUAGGUGUUGGAUUCUGUGUGUAUUAUUUUGGUGGUCUUUUUUUUUUCUUAAAGGUUUAUUUAUUUGAAAGUUGGAGUUUCAGAGAAAGGGAGAACAGCUGGGACUCAAGUUGGUGCCCAUACUGGGGGGGCCAGUGCUGCAGACAGUGGCUGUACGUGCUACGCCACAGUACCGGCCCCGAUUUGGUGGUCUUUUAAAUGUUCUCAAGCUUCGGUUGCGAAGGCAGGGAAGCUAUGUGGAAACAGUUUGAUCAUUUUAAGGCUUGCUCGUAAGCUUUGGCCGGUGGGCCAGAGGCGUGUUCAGGGCUACUCUCCUGCUGUUCAGAGGAUUCCGUUUGAUGAUGCCCUGCGAAUUACCAGCUUUUUCUUUUUGGCUGUGGAAGGUGAACCAUUCCCAGUUCUGUGUAAACUUCAGGAGUUUUUCUGCUUGUGUUCUCUGUGACUCUUUCCCUCAUCGUGGGAUUUCCGCAUCUACUCAUGUUGAUCACUACUUGGCGGAGUAUGCAAGGAGCCCUGUGCACGACUUGGAGUUGUCACCUCACCAUGGCUGUCUUCUCUGUGGUGAUCCUCCUGCAAGUUCUAAACGUCCUGGUCCUCCAGAUUCCCCACCGUCUCCUCAACUCGUUACUGCUGCCACGCUGAGUGAUGAAGUUUGAGUUUCACAAGUGAGCGCUAACUCGAUACCUUUCCUGCGGCCUUACCUGGGCCUCUGAGCUGCACCAAGCUACUACUCCAGUGAACACGUGGUGUCCUUUAAGGACAAAAUAAACACCUGGUGCGUUUGCUAAUA